rnacentral:misc_RNA from 1 species
AAGUCGUAACAAGGUUUCCGUAGGUGAACCUGCGGAAGGAUCAUUAAAAUACCGAUAAAAACACUGCUUUUGGCACUAAACACACGAACCUAUUUUAUUUUUUUUUUACCUUCUAAGUUUCACUUUUUGUGAAUUUUAAAUAAAAAAACAAAACUUUCAACAACGGAUCUCUUGGUUCUC